UACGUAGGGUGCAAGCGUUGUCCGGAAUUAUUGGGCGUAAAGGGCUCGUAGGCGGUCCGUCACGUCGGGAGUGAAAACUUGGGGCUUAACCCCAAGCCUGCUUCCGAUACGGGCGGACUAGAGAUAGGCAGGGGAGAACGGAAUUCCUGGUGUAGCGGUGAAAUGCGCAGAUAUCAGGAGGAACACCGGUGGCGAAGGCGGUUCUCUGGGCCUUACCUGACGCUGAGGAGCGAAAGCGUGGGGAGCAAACAGG
rnacentral:rRNA from 1 species